rnacentral:rRNA from 1 species
GAUGAACGCUGGCGGCGUGCCUAAUACAUGCAAGUCGAGCGAACGGACGAGAAGCUUGCUUCUCUGAUGUUAGCGGCGGACGGGUGAGUAACACGUGGAUAACCUACCUAUAAGACUGGGAUAACUUCGGGAAACCGUAGCUAAUACCGGAUAAUAUUUUGAACCGCAUGGUUCAAAAGUGAAAGACGGUCUUGCUGUCACUUAUAGAUGGAUCCGCGCUGCAUUAGCUAGUUGGUAAGGUAACGGCUUACCAAGGCAACGAUGCAUAGCCGACCUGAGAGGGUGAUCGGCCACACUGGAACUGAGACACGGUCCAGACUCCUACGGGAGGCAGCAGUAGGGAAUCUUCCGCAAUGGGCGAAAGCCUGACGGAGCAACGCCGCGUGAGUGAUGAAAGUCUUCGGAUCGUAAAACUCUGUUAUUAGGGAAGAACAUAUGUGUAAGUAACUGUGCACAUCUUGACGGUACCUAAUCAGAAAGCCACGGCUAACUACGUGCCAGCAGCCGCGGUAAUACGUAGGUGGCAAGCGUUAUCCGGAAUUAUUGGGCGUAAAGCGCGCGUAGGCGGUUUUUUAAGUCUGAUGUGAAAGCCCACGGCUCAACCGUGGAGGGUCAUUGGAAACUGGAAAACUUGAGUGCAGAAGAGGAAAGUGGAAUUCCAUGUGUAGCGGUGAAAUGCGCAGAGAUAUGGAGGAACACCAGUGGCGAAGGCGACUUUCUGGUCUGUAACUGACGCUGAUGUGCGAAAGCGUGGGGAUCAAACAGGAUUAGAUACCCUGGUAGUCCACGCCGUAAACGAUGAGUGCUAAGUGUUAGGGGGUUUCCGCCCCUUAGUGCUGCAGCUAACGCAUUAAGCACUCCGCCUGGGGAGUACGACCGCAAGGUUGAAACUCAAAGGAAUUGACGGGGACCCGCACAAGCGGUGGAGCAUGUGGUUUAAUUCGAAGCAACGCGAAGAACCUUACCAAAUCUUGACAUCCUUUGACAACUCUAGAGAUAGAGCCUUCCCCUUCGGGGGACAAAGUGACAGGUGGUGCAUGGUUGUCGUCAGCUCGUGUCGUGAGAUGUUGGGUUAAGUCCCGCAACGAGCGCAACCCUUAAGCUUAGUUGCCAUCAUUAAGUUGGGCACUCUAAGUUGACUGCCGGUGACAAACCGGAGGAAGGUGGGGAUGACGUCAAAUCAUCAUGCCCCUUAUGAUUUGGGCUACACACGUGCUACAAUGGACAAUACAAAGGGCAGCGAAACCGCGAGGUCAAGCAAAUCCCAUAAAGUUGUUCUCAGUUCGGAUUGUAGUCUGCAACUCGACUACAUGAAGCUGGAAUCGCUAGUAAUCGUAGAUCAGCAUGCUACGGUGAAUACGUUCCCGGGUCU